CGAUGGCAACGGGUCGGGCAUGGUUGAUCCAAGUCGAAUUUAUCAAGUGUGGAUGUGGAGAAGGGAAACCCCGCCUACGGCUCUCAGAAAUCAGAAUCCUCCACUGCGGUCUCCCAACCCUUCCCCUUCCCCUUCCCUCUCUUCUCUCUCUCUCUCUCUCUCUCUCUCGUUAGGGUUUUACGAAAUUGGUUCUUUGUUCUCUCGCCGUCAUAAUCAGGAGUUGUUAUGUUAUUUCCGCGAAUGGGUGAGACUGGAAAACGGUAUCAUUCACAGAGAGACCAUGACGGGGACAGAAGGAAUCAGAAGAGACGAAUGAACGAUGAUGCUGAAAAGGGAGACGGUGAAUUGGUUGUUUAUAGGAUACUCUGCCCAGAUGAUGUUAUUGGCAGUGUUAUUGGUAAGAAUGGAAAAGUGAUUAAUUCAAUAAGGCAAGAAACCAGGGCAAAAAUAAAGAUUGUGGAUCCCUUUCCCGGUGCCAAGGAUCGUGUUAUAACAAUCUACUGCUAUGUCAAGGGCAAGGAAGAUGUUGAGAUUGAUGAUGAGUUCAAUGGUAAGGAGCUUCUGUGUGCUGCACAAGACGCACUUCUCAAGAUUCAUGCUGCCAUUACGAAUUCCACUGCUGUAAUUGGAGAAUGGAGGAAAAAGCGAAAGGCUAAGGAGGAGUGUCAACUCCUUGUGCCAUCAAGUCAGGCUGCAAAUAUCAUUGGGAAGGCUGGGGCUACCAUUAAGAAGCUGAGGAGUAAGACGACAGCCAAUAUCAAAGUUGUUGCUAAGGAUGCGGCUGACCCGACACACUCCUGUGCUAUGGAUUUUGAUAAUUUUGUUUUGAUCACUGGUGAGGCAGCAGCAGUGGAAAGGGCCCUAUUUGCUGUUUCUUCUAUUAUGUACAAGUUCGGUCCCAAGGAAGACAUCUCUCUUGACACAUCUGUGCCAGAAGCCCCACCUAGCAUUAUUAUUCCUUCUGAACUUCCAAUUUAUCCACCUGGUGGACUAUAUCCAGUUUCAGACCCUAUUAUCCCACCUAGAUCCCUUCCUCAAAUUUUAGGUGCUACAAACAUGCGAGAUGUACAUGGUUAUGCUGAUGCAGGAAAUACAUGGCCUAUAUACUCAUCUGCCCUUCCAGCCGCUCCUGGGGCUCUUCCAGCAGCUUCUGGUGUAGGUGCUUCUCGUUCUGAGGAAUUAGUCAUUAGAAUGUUGUGUCCCUCGGACAAGAUUGGGCGAGUCAUUGGAAAAGGAGGGAGUACAAUUAAAAGUAUGAGGCAAGCGAUUGGUGCUCGAAUUGAAGUUGAUGAUUCGAAGGCAAAGCACGAUGAGUGUUUAAUCAUUAUAACAACGAUUGAGUCACCAAGUGAUCUGAAGUCUAUGGCAGUUGAAGCUGUUCUAUUGAUGCAAGGGAAGAUAAACGAUGAAGAUGAUAGCACGGUUUCGAUUCGGCUUCUAGUUCCAUCCAAAGUAAUAGGUUGUAUCAUUGGGAAAAGUGGUUCGAUUAUUAAUGAAAUUCGGAAGAGAACUAAAGCAGAUAUUCGAAUUUCUAAAGGUGAUAAACCAAAAUGUGCAGAUGUGAACGAUGAACUUGUUGAGGUGGGAGGCAUAGUUGAUUGUGUGAGAGAUGCGCUAAUCCAGAUUAUCUUAAGACUGAGAGAAGAUGUGUUGAGAGAAAGAGACAAUGGCCACAAUCCCUCUGUUGGUGCUGAAUCCAUGUACUCUGGUGGUGCUGGACUUUCAGUGCCAUCUGUCCUACCUCCAGUCCCUCCUGUUGCCACACCAUUGGCUUAUGAUCAGAGGACUGAAAGUGAAACUGGCCUUGGAAUGUUUUCUUCAAGCAGCCUGUAUGGAUAUGGAUCUUUGUCGAUGGCAGAGAAUGCCUAUGGAUCGAUGCCCCCGUACGCCAGCAAGCUGUAUGGAGGGUUGUCUGCCUCCUCCAUCAACUUUGGAUAUGUUGAUUCCUGCUAGUGCUGUUAGUAAGGUUUUGGGUAAAGGAGGGGCAAAUAUAGCCAAUAUCAGGAAGAUUUCAGGAGCAAUGAUAGAAAUCUGUGACUCCAAGUCUGCCUGGGGUGAUCGUAUUGCUGUGAUAUCUGGCACACCUGAACAGAAGUGCGCAGCUGAAAACUUGAUCCAGGCUUUCAUAAUGGCCACCUGAAUUAUUGAGUUUCUUUCUCGGGGUUUUCGAAGGUGAAAAGUUUAAUUAUUGAAGCAUGUCUUUGUCCUGUCCAUAGUUUCAUUAGGUUGGUCCUGUAGAGAGAAUAUUCUCUGGUUCUUCAUCUGGAUUCAAGUUCUUCCAUAACAGCAGCUUGCAAGAUUGUGCCGGAGGAUCCAUUGAUGGUUUUUAUAUGUAGGAACGAUAGCUCCUCCUUUUUUCUUAAGCUACUCUCAUUACUAUGUUUUCUCUUAGAAAUCUAGGAUCUCCAUGUCCGUUUGGUACUGUCUUUUGCUAGCAUGGAGUCAUCGCUAUUUCCUCAAAUUAAUUUCGGAGGAACCGUAAAGAGGUGGUGAUGUUUAUGUGGUUCACCCUGUCUCUCCCCCGCUAAUAGAAAGUAUCUUCCCCAAUGAUGCAAAUGAGACUGAGUCUCUAUCACACUCAUUUGUUAUCGUUGCUUAUGCUAGUUGGUUGAAAGUUCUCAAGUUGCCUCAUGAAUUUGAAGGAUUUCAGAAAAUUCUGCAUCA